rnacentral:rRNA from 1 species
UGAGUAACACGUGAGCAACCUGCCCCAAACUCUGGAAUAAGCGCUGGAAACGGCGUCUAAUACUGGAUACGAGACCAACCUGCAUGGGUAUGGUUUGGAAAGUUUUUCGGUUUGGGAUGGGCUCGCGGCCUAUCAGCUUGUUGGUGAGGUAAUGGCUCACCAAGGCGACGACGGGUAGCCGGCCUGAGAGGGCGACCGGCCACACUGGGACUGAGACACGGCCCAGACUCCUACGGGAGGCAGCAGUGGGGAAUAUUGCACAAUGGGCGAAAGCCUGAUGCAGCGACGCCGCGUGAGGGAUGACGGCCUUCGGGUUGUAAACCUCUUUCAGCAGGGAAGAAGCGAAAGUGACGGUACCUGCAGAAGAAGCACCGGCUAACUACGUGCCAGCAGCCGCGGUAAUACGUAGGGUGCGAGCGUUGUCCGGAAUUAUUGGGCGUAAAGAGCUUGUAGGCGGUUUGUCGCGUCUGCUGUGAAAAUCCGGGGCUCAACCCCGGACUUGCAGUGGGUACGGGCAGACUAGAGUGUGGUAGGGGGAGACUGGAAUUCCUGGUGUAGCGGUGAAAUGCGCAGAUAUCAGGAGGAACACCGAUGGCGAAGGCAGGUCUCUGGGCCACUACUGACGCCUGAGAAGCGAAAGCAUGGGGGAGCGAACAGGAUUAGAUACCCUGGUAGUCCAUGCCGUAAACGUUGGGAACUAAGGUGUGGGUCUCAUUCCACGAGAUCCGUGCCGCAGCUAACGCAUUAAGUUCCCCGCCUGGGGGAGUACGGCCGCAAGGCUAAAACUCAAAGGAAUUGACGGGGGCCCGCACAAGCGGCGGAGCAUGCGGAUUAAUUCGAUGCAACGCGAAGAACCUUACCAAGGCUUGACAUAUACCGGAAACUUCCAGAGAUGGUUGCCCCUUUUAGGUCGGUAUACAGGUGGGUGCAUGGUUGUCGUCAGCUCGUGUCGUGAGAUGUUUGGGUUAAGUCCCGCAACGAGCGCAACCCUCGUUCUAUGUUGCCAGCACGUAAUGGUGGGGACUCAUGGAAGACUGCCGGGUCACUCCGAG